rnacentral:rRNA from 1 species
UACGAAGGGGGCUAGCGUUGCUCGGAAUCACUGGGCGUAAAGGGUGCGUAGGCGGGUCUUUAAGUCAGGGGUGAAAUCCUGGAGCUCAACUCCAGAACUGCCUUUGAUACUGAGGAUCUUGAGUACGAGAGAGGUGAGUGGAAUUCCCAGUGUAGAGGUGAAAUUCGUAGAUAUUGGGAAGAACACCGGUGGCGAAGGCGGCUCACUGGCUCGUAACUGACGCUCAGGCGCGACAGCGUGGGGAUCAAACAGG